rnacentral:rRNA from 1 species
AUGGCCAAGACCUGCCUGCCAAUGGCCGCGGCUGCCAUGGUUCUGCUCCUGAUGGUGGCGACGGCGCAGGGCAUCAGGCUGGACGCAGGGAGCAAGGCGGCGUUCGGCAACCCUGUGCUCAAUAAAUCCGCAGAGAAAGGGAUGUUGAACAAGGCUGAUGGUGAUGAGCCAUCUUCAGGCGAUGAAGUGGAGGAGGCCAUCUCUGAAGAGAAAGAGAGGGCAGGGGCGCACAGGAUGCCUGAGAUCCAUGUGGACUACUAUGGCCCCAAGGGCCAUAACGCCAGGCACCACUGA